UCUGCCUUAUCGGCAAGCGGUCUCAUUAGAGUGCCCAACUUAAUGGUGGCAACUAAUGACAAGGGUUGCGCUCGUUGCGGGACUUAACCCAACAUCUCACGACACGAGCUGACGACAGCCAUGCAGCACCUGUCUCAGAAUUCUCUUGCGAGCACCCCACUGUUUCCAGCGGGUUCUCUGGAUGUCAAGCCUAGGUAAGGUUUUUCGCGUUGCAUCGAAUUGAACCACAUACUCCACCGCUUGUGCGGGCCCCCGUCAAUUUCUUUGAGUUUUAACCUUGCGGCCGUACUCCCCAGGCGGAACACUCAAUGCGUUAGCGGCGGCACCGAAAGGGUAAGACCUCCCGACACCUAGUGUUCAUAGUUUAAGGCGUGGACUAC
rnacentral:misc_RNA from 1 species